CGAACUCAGAAAUCUGCCUGCCU
rnacentral:piRNA from 1 species